rnacentral:rRNA from 1 species
UACGAAGGGGGCUAGCGUUGCUCGGAAUCACUGGGCGUAAAGCGCACGUAGGCGGGUCGUUAAGUCAGGGGUGAAAUCCUGGAGCUCAACUCCAGAACUGCCCUUGAUACUGGCGACCUUGAGUCCGGGAGAGGUGAGUGGAACUGCGAGUGUAGAGGUGAAAUUCGUAGAUAUUCGCAAGAACACCAGUGGCGAAGGCGGCUCACUGGCCCGGUACUGACGCUGAGGUGCGAAAGCGUGGGGAGCAAACAGG